CGUGAAAAAGCACGGACAGAGUGGGGGAAGAAAAAAGAUCACAAUGUUUACCAGCAUCAAAGGAAAAUUUUAAACAUGAUCCGCAAUAUUGCUCAUGCUGAUGACAUGGAAAGUUUUAAUAACUCUCUGAAGAUUCUGCAGACAAGUGAGAUAUGGCAGAAAAAAACACAUUUUUAUCAAUGGUUUUCCACAAAGUGGCUGCCAUCCCAGAAGGUGACUGCAUAAUCAAUUACUAGAUGUGGAAGACUACACAAACUUGGAGAGGCUUGCUCUGGAUGGAAAUCCCAUGUAAUUGUGCAUGGUCUGGUCAUAUCGGAGGCAUACAACAAUAGAGGUUGACGCGCGUUACCAGAAAGAUAUGUGGUGGUGAUGUUUCCUGAGAACAUCGAGCCUUAGGGAAAACGCUAAAGAAUGGAUAUUGUGUGAAA